rnacentral:rRNA from 1 species
ACGGGUUCAUACUCACAAGAAGAGGACAAGUUGAUUUGCCAAAGUUGGAUUGAGAUUAGUCAAGAUCCGAGGACCAGUGCGCAACAAAAGGGACUUGUUUUUUGGACAAGAGUUAACAAAACAUUCCAUGAAAGAAAGUUAUUUGCGCCUUACCAAUUUACGAGCGACCAUGGCAUCACCUUGAUUCAAAAGAGGUGGUUGUUCAUUCAACAAGAAUGCAACAAGUAUUGUGCCGCACUUGAGAGCAUUGAAGCACGGCCAGUGAGUGGUCUCGGCAUUGGGAACAUGGUAUGCUAUCCUGAUCCUAGUUCUUUUGUUGCUACAGCCACGAGACUUCGGCCUUCUAUAUGUUUGCAUGUUCAAUUGUUGUUGGUCGUGUAG